GGCUUAAUGAUAAUAAUUUUAAGUCAAUCUGCUCAAUGAAGAAUAAUUUAAAUGGCUGCAGUAUAAUUAACUGUACAAAGGUAGCAUAAUCAAUUGUUUUUUAAUUGAAAACUGGAAUGAAAGAAUUAAUGAGAUAUAUACUGUCUCAUAUAUAUUUAAUGAAAUUAAAUUUUUAGUAAAAAUGCUAAAAUAAAUUUAUGGGACGAUAAGACCCUAUAGAAUUUUAUAUUAAUAAAUUAGAUUUUAUUAAAUUUUAAUAAUUAAUAUUUAAUUGGGAGGAUUAAUAAAUUUAAUAAACUUUAUUUUAAAUUUAAACUUUAAUUUGAGGAUAAAAUUUAUGAUCUUGUAUUAUAAAUUAUAAGAAAAAAUUACCUUAGGGAUAACAGCGUAAUAUCUUUUUAAAGAUCAAAUUAAUAAAGAUGAUUGCGACCUCGAUGUUGAAUUAAGAUAAAUUUUAAAUGAAGAAGUUUAAUAAUUAAGUCUGUUCGACUUUUAAAAUCUUACAUGAUUUGAGUUCAAAUCGACGUGAGU
rnacentral:rRNA from 1 species